rnacentral:lncRNA from 1 species
UCCAAUGCUCCUAGAUAAAAGGUGCUCAAUUUUUCACCGGCUUUUAAUUUUUUUUAGCUCUCUAUAAACACAUUCAUCACCUAUUCAUGCAAAAACAUCAAAACCCUCCAAAAUUUCUCCUCACAUAAAAACUCAAUCUAUGCUGAAACCCUCAAUCCCAAAUCGUUAAAUCAUUACUAAAACACAGUCCCAAAUCAUUAUUGAAUCCCAACUAUUGAAAGACAAUCCCAAGUCGCUGAACUCAAUCGCUUACUGGACUCAAUCAAUGGUUGAACCCCUAGUCUCCUUCCAUGAACGCAAUUGCUCCAGAUUUCUUCUCACGAGUCAUCAAUCUUUCACACUCAACCUUUCUUCUCCAAAUUUAUUGUCACAACUAGCUUUACUAGAGGUAUGGGAGAACCCCAUUUCUCUACAAUUAUUUUCUGGUUUUAAACUAUUAUUUUAAGUGUUUGGUUGCAAGUUACAUGAUUUCGUUCGAUUCAAAUUUAAAAUGUUUGGAUUUUUAUCAAAUAGUAAGAGUAUAAUUCGCUAAAUAUUUAAUAGCAUUUCUAUGUAAAAUGCUAUUAAAUUUGUUAUCCAAAAAUCUAAUAUAACACUCUUGUCAUGGGCGCUAUCAUAAAUUAGAAAAAAUAAAAAAAAUACUUGGAUCGAUAAUAGCACCUUUAUCAUCAACACUAUUAAUCACUGAAAAGAAAUUUAAAAAAAAUAUAUUUGGGUCUUUAUUAACGAUUUACAGAAAGCGCUAUUAAAACAGUUCAAUUAACAUCUAUCUCGAUUGAAUCAACUCCUGUUAUCAAAGUACCAACAGUUAUACAAAUUCAUCCUUAAAUGAAAAUUAAAUCUGCAACUGCUUCUAUUGAUUUCUUCUUUGUUUUUUCAUUUGUCAUUAUAAGAACCUUUAACACCACCUUCCUCUAUGCCCGUUUGAGCUACAUCCUUUAUGAUGUCAUUUUCGAAUGUUGUUGCUUGGUAACCUUAUGCUUAGAACAUGGUAUAAAUAAAAUUAAAAUAGGUGAAUCUAGGUCCUUUGAUACUUUCUAUAUGUGAUUUUGUGAUUAUAAAUGAAGUCUUCUCCUUUUCAUCUCAUAUUAAGCUUGUAUACUGAGAGGAUUAAAUGUACUUUCCAAAACAGUAUUUAAAUUUCAGUAUUUUUUUCUCUGUUAUGUGCAGUCUUGUUUCAGCUUGUGUAUUUAAUUAGUGAAGGGGUAGAUAGAUUAGUGUAGAAAAUUUUAUUAAUUUUGAUCCAAUAAGAGUAAAUUUUAGUGCAAGAAAACAAAUUACACCACCAAAUGACAUCCCACUCUAGUUUUGUUGUGGUGUGUGAGCACAUAAUCAUUUUUCAAUAAUUUGAAACUGGGAUGAUAUAUAUUUACAAGCAUUAUCAGUGUGUAAAAUUUUAAGAAUUUAAUUGAAAUACACUGAUAGUGUAAAAAGAUUUUACACCGUCAUUAAUUAUAGUCGUUGGAUGUUGAAACAAGUUUGACUUUUAUUUUAAAAAUCUAUAAAGUAAUGCAAACGAGUGAUGGUGAUGAAUCG